UCGAGCGAACAGACGAGGAGCUUGCUCCUCUGACGUUAGCGGCGGACGGGUGAGUAACACGUGGAUAACCUACCUAUAAGACUGGGAUAACUUCGGGAAACCGGAGCUAAUACCGGAUAACAUGUUGAACCGCAUGGUUCAACAGUGAAAGACGGUCUUGCUGUCACUUAUAGAUGGAUCCGCGCCGCAUUAGCUAGUUGGUAAGGUAACGGCUUACCAAGGCAACGAUGCGUAGCCGACCUGAGAGGGUGAUCGGCCACACUGGAACUGAGACACGGUCCAGACUCCUACGGGAGGCAGCAGUAGGGAAUCUUCCGCAAUGGGCGAAAGCCUGACGGAGCAACGCCGCGUGAGUGAAGAAGGUCUUCGGAUCGUAAAACUCUGUUAUUAGGGAAGAACAAAUGUGUAAGUAACUAUGCACGUCUUGACGGUACCUAAUCAGAAAGCCACGGCUAACUACGUGCCAGCAGCCGCGGUAAUACGUAGGUGGCAAGCGUUAUCCGGAAUUAUUGGGCGUAAAGCGCGCGUAGGCGGUUUUUUAAGUCUGAUGUGAAAGCCCACGGCUCAACCGUGGAGGGUCAUUGGAAACUGGAAAACUUGAGUGCAGAAGAGGAAAGUGGAAUUCCAUGUGUAGCGGUGAAAUGCGCAGAGAUAUGGAGGAACACCAGUGGCGAAGGCGACUUUCUGGUCUGUAACUGACGCUGAUGUGCGAAAGCGUGGGGAUCAAACAGGAUUAGAUACCCUGGUAGUCCACGCCGUAAACGAUGAGUGCUAAGUGUUAGGGGGUUUCCGCCCCUUAGUGCUGCAGCUAACGCAUUAAGCACUCCGCCUGGGGGAGUACGACCGCAAGGUUGAAACUCAAAGGAAUUGACGGGGACCCGCACAAGCGGUGGAGCAUGUGGUUUAAUUUCGAAGCAACGCGAAGACCCUUACCAAAUCUUGACAUCCUCUGACCCCUCUAGAGAUAGAGUUUUCCCCUUCGGGGGACAGAGUGACAGGUGUGCAUGAUGUCGUCAGCUCGUGUCGUGAGAUGUGGUCAGGUCCCGCACGAGC
rnacentral:rRNA from 1 species